rnacentral:rRNA from 1 species
CUACGGGAGGCAGCAGUAGGGAAUCUUGCGCAAUGGGGGAAACCCUGACGCAGCAACGCCGCGUGCGGGAUGACGGCCCUAGGGUUGUAAACCGCUUUCAGCAGGGACGAGACCAGACGGUACCUGCAGAAGAAGCCCCGGCCAACUACGUGCCAGCAGCCGCGGUAACACGUAGGGGGCGAGCGUUGUCCGGAUUCAUUGGGCGUAAAGAGCUCGUAGGCGGUCCAGUAAGUUGGGUGUGAAAGCUCCGGGCUCAACCCGGAGAGGUCACCCAAAACUGCUGUGACUAGAGUCCAGUAGAGGAGCGUGGAAUUCCUGGUGUAGCGGUGAAAUGCGCAGAUAUCAGGAGGAACACCAGCAGCGAAGGCGGCGCUCUGGGCUGGAACUGACGCUGAGGAGCGAAAGCGUGGGUAGCAAACAGGAUUAGAUACCCUGGUAGUCC